UGGGGAAUUUUGGACAAUGGGGGCAACCCUGAUCCAGCCAUGCCGCGUGCGGGAAGAAGGCCUUCGGGUUGUAAACCGCUUUCGGCCGGAACGAAAUCGGCGGGAUGAACAGUCUCGCUGGAUGACGGUACCGGAAGAAGAAGCACCGGCUAACUACGUGCCAGCAGCCGCGGUAAUACGUAGGGUGCGAGCGUUAAUCGGAAUUACUGGGCGUAAAGCGUGCGCAGGCGCCGCGUAAGCCAGAGGUGAAAUCCCCGGGCUCAACCUGGGAAUGGCCUUUGGGACUGCGUGGCUCGAGUGCGGCAGAGGGGGGUGGAAUUCCUGGUGUAGCAGUGAAAUGCGUAGAGAUCAGGAGGAACACCGAUGGCGAAGGCAGCCCCCUGGGCCAGCACUGACGCUCAGGCACGAAAGCGUGGGGAGCAAACAGGAUUAGAUACCCUGGUAGUCCACGCCCUAAACGAUGACGACUAGUUGUUGGGGGAGUCUAUCCCUUAGUAACGUAGCUAACGCGUGAAGUCGUCCGCCUGGGGAGUACGGUCGCAAGAUUA
rnacentral:rRNA from 1 species